rnacentral:rRNA from 1 species
AUGCAGGUGCAAGUACGAGUUCUCGUAAAGCGAAACUGCGAAUGGCUCAUUAAAUCAGUCUUGGUUUAUUUGGUCUCGUAAGCGAAGUGGAUAACUGUGGUAAUUCUAGAGCUAAUACAUGCAUUAAGCGCCGACUUCGGGAGGCGCGCUUUUAUCAGAUCAAAACCGACCGGGUUCGUCCUGUGACGUUUGAUGACUCUGGAUAACCACGCGGAUCGUACGGUCUCUGCACCGACGACGUAUCAUUCAAGUGUCUGCCCUAUCAACUGUCGAAGGUACGCUACGUGCCUACCUUUGUGAUAACGGGUAACGGGGAAUCAGGGUUCGAUUCCGGAGAGGGAGCCUGAGAAACGGCUACCACA